rnacentral:rRNA from 1 species
GAUGAACGCUGGCGGCGUGCUUAAUACAUGCAAGUCGAGCGAACAGACGAGGAGCUUGCUCCUCUGACGUUAGCGGCGGACGGGUGAGUAACACGUGGAUAACCUACCUAUAAGACUGGGAUAACUUCGGGAAACCGGAGCUAAUACCGGAUAAUAUAUUGAACCGCAUGGUUCAAUAGUGAAAGACGGUUUUGCUGUCACUUAUAGAUGGAUCCGCGCCGCAUUAGCUAGUUGGUAAGGUAACGGCUUACCAAGGCAACGAUGCGUAGCCGACCUGAGAGGGUGAUCGGCCACACUGGAACUGAGACACGGUCCAGACUCCUACGGGAGGCAGCAGUAGGGAAUCUUCCGCAAUGGGCGAAAGCCUGACGGAGCAACGCCGCGUGAAUGAUGAAGGUCUUCGGAUCGUAAAACUCUGUUAUUAGGGAAGAACAAAUUUGUAAGUAACUAUGCACGUCUUGACGGUACCUAAUCAGAAAGCCACGGCUAACUACGUG